rnacentral:rRNA from 1 species
AGCAGCCGCGGUAGUUCCAGCUCCAAUAGCGUAUAUUAAAGUUGUUGCAGUUAAAAAGCUCGUAGUUGAACUUCGGGGUUUACCCAUUGGUCAGGCUUAAUUGUCUGUACUGGUGAGAUAAAUCUCUACCUUCUGAGGAACUUUCAUGUCAUUAAUUUGGUGUGAUUGGAAAUCAGGACUGUUACUUUGAAAAAAUUAGAGUGUUUAAAGCAGGCUAACGUCUGAAUACAUUAGCAUGGAAUAAUGAAAUAGGACGGCUUGAUUCUAUUUCGUUGGUUUCUAGGAUCACCGUAAUGAUUAAUAGGGAUAGUUGGGGGCAUUAGUAUUCAAUUGUCAGAGGUGAAAUUCUUGGAUUUAUUGAAGACUAACUACUGCGAAAGCAUUUGCCAAGGAUGUUUUCAUUAAUCAAGAACGAAAGUUAGGGGAUCGAAGACGAUCAGAUACCGUCGUAGUCUUAACCAUAAACUAUGC